GUGGGGAAUUUUGCGCAAUGGGGGAAACCCUGACGCAGCAACGCCGCGUGAGUGAUGAAGGCCUUCGGGUCGUAAAGCUCUGUCAGAGGGGAAGAAGUGUGGGGUGGCUAAUAUCCAUUUCACUUGACGGUACCUUCAAAGGAAGCACCGGCUAACUCCGUGCCAGCAGCCGCGGUAAUACGGAGGGUGCGAGCGUUGUUCGGAAUUAUUGGGCGUAAAGCGCGUGUAGGCGGUUUUUUAAGUCUGAUGUGAAAGCCCUGGGCUCAACCCGGGAAGUGCAUUGGAAACUGGGAGACUUGAAUACGGGAGAGGGCAGUGGAAUUCCUGGUGUAGGAGUGAAAUCCGUAGAUAUCAGGAGGAACACCGGUGGCGAAGGCGGCUGCCUGGACCGAUAUUGACGCUGAGACGCGAAAGCGUGGGGAGCAAACAGGAUUAGAAACCCGGGUAGUCC
rnacentral:rRNA from 1 species